AUGUGCAAUGGUUGGAUAUUUAGUUCAGAUUGUAAAGUAUCAUUAUGAUAAAUAAACUAAUCCUACCCAGUUUAAAGCUUAUAAAAAAUACCUCAAAACUUUCCUUUCAAUGUCACCAAUUUUAUUUACAUGAACUUGAUUAUAAGGGUUGCAUGUUGGAAUUUAGUUUAAAGGUGAGGGAGUAGCAGAUUAGGGACAGUCAAUCAAACCUCGGUAUUAAAAAAUGAAUUGAUUUUAACAUCAAGCCUAAGAAGAAAUUUAGUAGUGUUAUGAAGCAAAACUGAUUUCUUGCAGUUGUACAUUUCAAUGUGUUUGUUCAUUUGUAUUAAUUUAAUUUUUUAUUGACUAUUUUAAUUUUAUAUGCACCGAUAUAUCUAUUCUUUUUUUUAGAUUAAAGUAUUAAUAUGUUAACCCUC